AACAAACGCUGGCGGCGUGCCUAAUACAUGCAAGUCGAACGGGGAAAGCUUUCGGGUGAGUACUAGUGGCGCACGGGUGAGUAACGCGUGGAUAAUCUGCCUUAGAGUGGGGGAUAACUAGUCGAAAGAUUAGCUAAUACCGCAUAAGACCACAAGAACUGCGGUUCAAGGGGUCAAAGGUUUUUCGCUCUAAGAUGAGUCCGCGUAAGAUUAGCUAGUUGGUAGGGUAACGGCCUACCAAGGCGACGAUCUUUAACUGGUCUGAGAGGAUGAUCAGUAACACGGGAACUGAGACACGGUCCAGACUCCUACGGGAGGCAGCAGUAGGGAAUAUUGCACAAUGGAGGAAACUCUGAUGCAGCGACGCCGCGUGAGUGAUGAAGGCCUUCGGGUCGUAAAGCUCUGUCGCAGGGGAAUAACACAAUGAAGGUACCCUGUAAGAAAGGAUCGGCUAACUUCGUGCCAGCCGCCGCCGUAAGAC
rnacentral:rRNA from 1 species